rfam:Myotis davidii contig85528, whole genome shotgun sequence.
GGCAGUUCUCAGGUGUCGCACCCCAGAAUUGGGCUCCCUCCUCUCUGGUUCUGGGUGUGUCACCCAAGAAUCACG